rnacentral:rRNA from 1 species
GACGAACGCUGGCGGCGUGCUUAAUACAUGCAAGUCGAACGCAGUGGGGACGGGUGAGUAACACGUGGGUAACCUCCCAUCAGAGGGGAUAACACUUGGAAACAGGUGCUAAACCGAUACUGAUGGAUGGACUCGCGGUGCAUUAGCCAGUUGGUGAGGUACCGGCUCACCAAGGCCACGAUGCAUAGCCGCCCGGAGGGGGUGAUCGGCAACACUGGGCCUAAGACACGGCCCAGACUCCUACGGGAGGAAGAAGUAGGGAAUCUUCGGCAAUGGACGAAAGUCUGACCAGGCAACGCAGCGUGAGGGAAAAAGGUUUUCGGUUCGUAAGACUCUGGUGUUAGAAAAACGGUAUCUAACCAAAAAGCCACGGCGAACUACGUGCCAGCAGCCGCGGUAAUAC